UACGGAGUUAGCCGGGGCUUCUUCUGCUGGUACCGUCAUUAUCUUCCCAGCUGAAAGAGCUUUACAACCCUAAGGCCUUCAUCACUCACGCGGCAUGGCUAGAUCAGGGUUGCCCCCAUUGUCUAAGAUUCCCCACUGCUGCCUCCCGUAGGAGUCUGGGCCGUGUCUCAGUCCCAGUGUGGCUGAUCAUCCUCUCAAACCAGCUAUGGAUCGUCGGCUUGGUAGGCCAUUACCCCACCAACUACCUAAUCCAACGCGGGCUAAUCCUUCUCCGAUAAAUCUUUCCCCCAUAGGGCGUAUACGGUAUUACUCCCAGUUUCCCGGGGCUAUUCCGUAGAGAAGGGCAUAUUCCCACGCGUUACUCACCCGUCCGCCGCUAGACCCGAAGGUCUCGCUCGACUUGCAUGUGUUAGGCCUGCCGCCAGCGUGUUCUGAGUCACGGAUCAACUAC
rnacentral:rRNA from 1 species